ensembl:rRNA 5S_rRNA 5S ribosomal RNA
AUCUACGGCCAUACCACCCUGAACGCACGGGAUCUCUGAUCUCGGAAGCUAAGCAGGGUUUGACCUUGUUAGUAUUUGGAUGGGAGACCACCUGGGAAUACCGGGUGCCGUAGAUU